CUAAUAAAAGCAGCAUGAAUACUAAAAUUGGAAGGAUACAAAGAAGAUUACCAUGGCCCCUGCACAAGAAUGACAUGCAGAUUUGUGAAGCAUUCCAUAUUUUU